GUUUAUAUAAUUUAAAAAAGAAUAUUGCAUUGAAGCUGCAAAAGUGAUAAGUUGUCUGUAAACA
rnacentral:tRNA from 1 species